rnacentral:rRNA from 1 species
AUUGAACGCUGGCGGCAGGCCUAACACAUGCAAGUCGAGCGCGAAAGUUCUUCGGAACAAGUAGAGCGGCGGACGGGUGAGUAAUGCUUGGGAAUCUACCUAGUAGUGGGGGACAACAGUUGGAAACGACUGCUAAUACCGCAUACGCCCUACGGGGGAAAGGGGGGGAUCUUCGGACCUCUCGCUAUUGGAUGAGCCCAAGUCGGAUUAGCUAGUUGGUGGGGUAAAGGCCCACCAAGGCGACGAUCCGUAGCUGGUUUGAGAGGAUGAUCAGCCACACUGGGACUGAGACACGGCCCAGACUCCUACGGGAGGCAGCAGUGGGGAAUAUUGCACAAUGGGGGAAACCCUGAUGCAGCCAUGCCGCGUGUGUGAAGAAGGCCUUCGGGUUGUAAAGCACUUUAAGUUGUGAGGAAGGCUUGGUAGUUAAUAGCUGCCAAGAUUGACGUUAGCAACAGAAUAAGCACCGGCUAACUUCG